GGAAGAAGACUCCCUACAGUGUGACUGCGUAAACAGGAUUUUUAUUGCAGCUCUACUUUCAGACUGCAGGCAAAAGUGAUCGACAUUCGUCACAAUUCUGCGCUGUCGGGAGCCACUCUGGGAAUUCAGAGAGGGGGAAGGAGGGAGCCGCUGACAGAUGUAGUUAAAAGUAGCCCUUGAAAUUUUAGAUGAAAUCUGUUUCUGUAAAGCCAUUCAUGUCACGAUCCCACCACUCCUGGCUCCGACUCCACAAAAAGUCAUAAUUCAAAAUUUAGCUCUCUUUCUCCUCAUCUUCGUCCUUGUUAUCCUCUGGUCAAGAAUUCCCCGGCUUCCACUGCACAUCAAUAAAAAAAAAUGUAAACGC